CCUACGGGUGGCAGCAGUGAGGAAUAUUGGUCAAUGGACGAGAGUCUGAACCAGCCAAGUAGCGUGAAGGAUGACUGCCCUAUGGGUUGUAAACUUCUUUUAUAUGGGAAUAAAAUAUUCCCCGUGUGGGAUUUUGUAUGUACCAUAUGAAUAAGGAUCGGCUAAAUCCGUUCCAGCAGCCGCGUUAAUACGGAGGAUCCGACCGUUAUCCGGAUUUAUUGGGUUUAAAGGGAGCGUAGGUGUAUUGUUACGUCAGUUGUGAAAGUUUGCGGCUCAAACGUAAAAUUGCAGUUGAAACGGGUAGUCGUGAGUACAGUAGAGGUGGGCGGAAUUCGUGGUGUAGCGGUGAAAUGCUUAGAUAUCACGAAGAAAUCCGAUUGCGAAGGCAGUUCACUGGACUGCAACUGACACUGAGGCUCGAAAGUGUGGGUAUCAAACAGGAUUAGAUACCCGGGUAGGC
rnacentral:rRNA from 1 species